AGCAAGACUCCAUCUCAAAAAAAAAAAAAAGAAAGUUAGAAGAAGGUUUAUUUCUUGAGUCUAUUUUGACUUGAACUUUCAUCAGAAAGACUGUGAAGUGACCUUAGUGUCCAGACCUCUCCUCUUCCUGUGGGAGUCUGAGAGUCUCGCCAGCUCUCCCCAGCACGCUGCCACCUCUAGAGAUCAGGGCAGCUCCCUCCAAGUAACAGCACAGAAGGCAGCUGGCGGGGUUUUCAGUGUGAACAAUUUGGGGUACUUCAAACCUACAUUUUUUUCCUAGACCAUCUAGAACAUGGUAGAGUAUCGGGUGGCAGUGCUGUCAGUGUAGCUGUGCACCCUCCGCAUUGCACUUUGUUGCCUCAGGUCUACACAGAAUGUGGGUUCUAUUGAGCAAAAAGUAGCUGGCUGCCACAUUUGCCAUGCUAACAUCUGCCUAUACACCUGUCUUCUGUUGCUACUUGGAGCUGCCCUGUAGGCAGCUGUGUGAGGUAGACCCAUUCUCCCCUUGUCCAUGCCAGUGAGGAUUGGGCCUCACCGGCAAGUGUGGUUUUGCUGUUUCUGCUUUGGCCUCCGUAGCUCUGCCUGCAAGAAGAUCUAUAGAGUUAUCCUGACUUCCAGAGUGAAACGGGUUGUUGUUCCUGGCCAUGUGGUGCUCAUAUGUGUCCUGGUCGGGGAAGUGUUUUACCUGGUGGGCAUUGGUGCACCAUCACUGCCAGAAGGCCCAGUGGCACCCUGUGGGUAGCUGUUCUGAAAGGAUUGCUAUUAGUUGAUGAAGUCUUGCAGGAGAAUUUCUUUCUUUUUUUUUUUUUGAAACAGUGUCUGGCUCUGUCACCCAGGCUGGAGUGCAGUGGCACUAUCUUAGCUCACUGCAGCCUCUGCCUCCUGGGCUCAACUGAUCCUCCUACCUCAGCCUCCCAAGUAGCUGGGACCGUAGGCACAUGCCACCACACCCAGCUACGUUUUGUAGAGAUGGAGUCUUGCUGUGUUGCCCAGACUGGUCUCAUACUCCUGGGCUCAAGCAAUCUGCCCAUCUCAGCCUCCCUAAGUGCUGGGAUUACAAGCAUGAGCCACUGUGCCCAGCCGUAACAGGAUUUCAAACUUCUCUCCACCUAACUCACUGUGAGAUUUUGGGGGAGUCAUUUGUGCCCUACAGCAGUGCUCCACUUAUAAUUCAACAAUGGCUGCCAUUCACUGGCUCACUGCACUGAGCUCCCAUCAUUGACCUCUCAUUUACUCUUCAUGCCACUCUGAGGAUGGUCUUUUCCUUACUCCCGCUUGACCCACAGAGCUAGAGAGAGGAGGAGCCAAGGCAUGAACUCAACCCCGUGGGUCUGCAGAGCCCACAUGGCCCCUCUGCCCUACUAGGUGUCUUCUGCGUUUAGGAUGUCAUUCAUCCUGAAUGACAGUUAGUGUUGUAGCCCUUUGGAACAGGUGAUCUCUCCUUUCUACAGAGAGGAGAGAACCUCAGAGAGCACGUGCCUUGCCUGAAAUCCUGUAGGUGAUUAGGGGCACAGCUGAGAUUGGACCCCCAGUCUGUGCUGCUUCUACUCUAUGUAUCCCGCCUCCCUCUGAGGCAGCAAGAGAUGACAGAACUUAGGAAAAUUUAAAGUGUCAGACAGGAAUGAGGACCUGUGAGGUGUGAGAAUCAUGUCAGGACAGGGUAGUACAUGGUUGGUACCUUAGGGCCUACUAGCUAUAAUUUGAGUUCUUUUGGUCCAAGGAAUCUGAGGCUCCCAUCCCUGUUUCCUUUCAGUGGACAAGCACCUCUUGAAGCCAUGGAUAUCUCAGGCAUGGACCAGGCAAAUGCCUAGUGAAUGUGGGAAGUGAACCUGAGGUCUGUUAGGUGCAGGAAAUGGCCAAGGGCCCUGGGGCAGCAUGAGAUGAGUGACUGGCAGCUCAGAAACCAUGGAGUGGACUGACUGGUCCCACCUGCACUGCUCUGACCCUGUGCUGGCACUGAGCAGCAAAGAGAAAGCAGAUCUUCAAAGAUUGUAUGUCAGUAAAGGAAACAGAUAUGUCAAUUACAUAUCUAUUACAGUAUAGCAUAAUAGAGACCACAGGGAAAUAGGAGUCGGGCACAGAAGGGCCCAGGAGAGAGAGUAACAAAAUUUUGGGGAGGAUAAUGGAGUCUUUCUGAAGAUGGCAAAUUCCAAGAUGCCUUUUAAAUGACAAAAUGAGGUAGCCUCAGGGAACCAAAGUAACUUGGGUGAGUUAUUUUCCCUCUUUGAGCCUCAGUUUUCCACAUUAAAAGAGGAGUACCAGGCUUGCUCUGAGGAUUAUUAUGGCAAACAGCUAUGGUAAUGAUUAUCAAAUGCUUGGCACAGUGCUUGCAUGUUGUCAGCAUUCAAGAAAUGGUACCUGCAUUUGUUUUUAAUAAAAUUGUUGCUGAUAAUUAUAGGCAAGAUUGGAGGACAGUUAAUAACCUCUAUGUCCUGACAGUCUCAGCGUGCACAAAUGGGACCUCCUAUAUGCAAGCUGGUUUGUAACAGGGUUGAGAAUGUUCUACAGCAGUGGUUUCCAGCUUGGGCCUCUAUACUCAUUAAGGAUUCUGAAGAUUGUAAUGGGGGGAGAUGUGGUCUGUAAGGUAUUUAUUGUAUUUCAAUGGAAUUCACAGCUUUGAUUCUGUGAUGCUACAUGAGCUAUCAAGAGGAGAAAUCGUGCCCUGCCUGUCUUUGUGUCCCCUGCAUUUGGCAUAGGACCUGGUAAUUUUAGUGUAUCAGCCUAUCCAUCGUUGACCUUAAAAUCUCCCCUUUGGCCAAAGUUGUGUGUUUACUCUGACAGAUUCUGCUUCUUAAACAUUUGGUAAAUCCACAUCCUCUUCCUCAUCCCUCCUAAACACCACCUAAUCUAAGCUUUUAUUUUCCCCCUGCAUUAUUACCAGCAGACUCAAGACUGGCUCAUCUGACUCCAGCCUCAUCCCUCCAAUCUUUCCGCCUCAUGCCCCAGAGUGACCUUUCUAAAAACAUAAACUCCAUUUCCCACCUAACUAAAACUAUUCCAUCAGUGAAUGUAAUUUUUCAAAAAAACAUUUAAGGACAAAAAAAUUCUCCUAUAACUUCCCAUUACCUAGAGAUUCAAGGCAACUUCCCUUUGUUGGCUUUGAAAUCAAACAGACCUGUUUUCACAUCCUGGCUUCCUCACUUCAUGUCCGUGUGAUCUUGGGCAAAAUUACUUAAGCUCUCUAAGACUUAAUUUCCACAUAAGGUUGUUUGAGAAUUAAAUGUAAUAUAUAUAAUAUAUUUAAAACAUAUAUCCUAUCAGCACAAUCGACAGUAGCUGAUGAUGAUGAAUUAUGGAUGUGAAUUAUGAUCCGCAGGGCAUUCAGCCCUCCUUCAUGAUACCCCCCUGUUUUUGUUUCUCCAUAGCUGUAGUUCUCUCUCCUCCCUGCUUUAAACUCUGUACUGUAGGUUUUUAGAACUGUUAAUGGUUGUCCCAAAUUUACAUGUUGUUUCAUAACUUCAUACUUUGUAUGCAGCAUUUCUUUUGUCCCAGUGUCUUACCUCAUCUAUUAAUCUCUCACUCAUUCUUCAAGACCUGCUCUCAAGUAUUUAAUCACACACACACACAAACACAUGCACACACACACACACAAACACACACUGAAUCUUUUCUGACCUUCACGUAGAUUUGACCAUAUCUUUCUCUAUGUCCCCACAGCCCCUUGUGUACCUUGUGUAAUUGUACUGAUUUAUUGCCCAUUUCCCUUUUACUUGUCAGUUUUUUGGAGUAGCAGUAAUUGAGUUUUAUUCAUCUUUGUUUUCCAAGAAUCUAGCAGCCACUGAAUAGAUAGAUGGAAGGAUGGAAGGCACAUAUGGAUUGGGUUAUUAUGGUAGAUGAAAUCUUGUAAAACAUGGCAUCUACGCUGGAAACUUUAUUAAAAGAGGCUUGGGGCCAGACAUGGUGGCUCAUGCCUAUAAUCCCAGCAUUUUGGGAGUCUGAGGCAGAAGAAUUGCUUGAGGCCAAGAAUUCAAGUUUGCAGUGAGCUGUGAUUGCGCCACUGCUCUCCAGCCAUGAUAGAAUAAUUGGAACUGGAUUAAUCCUCCCACAAUUUAAAACUCUGGACAAAUAUGAAAACAGCUGUUUUCACAUGUUGGACAACAGACAAGACAAGAUUGUUAUCCCUGAGUGAAAGGAAGCCAGUGAGGUGAGGCCUACUAUCCCACUGGCUUUCUGCCUUGAGGCAUUUUCUGGAUAUUGGUACUAGAAGGGGAAUCCCCAGCAAAGCACAACAGUCUUGGGGAGCUGAAAGAUUAAAGAACAGUUUGAAGGGGAGAUGGUUUACAUUUGCAAGUGAGAGUAUCAGACAGGAGGGAGCUACUCAGCUGAAGAGCUCCAGAAACCUGAAUUGACAAACCUGCUGAAGACUAAUCUGCCCAUAUGUAGGGUAAAACUCCUGACAGGAAACUAUAAGAUGAACAGUUCUCAGAGCUCACACAAGUCUAGGAAUCCUGCAGGUUCUGACCAACCAGAGUCAGAGAUCUUGUUGGUCAUUCAGGACAAUGAUAAGAGACACCAGUAGGGCAUGACUUGAUAGUACAUCUAAAUUAGCUAUAAAGAUCAUUUUAGCCCUGCCCUGAAAGAGCUUAAAAUUAAGCUUUGAGAGGCACAAGAGAGGGCUUUAGGGGUCCUAAAAUGUGCUGGAUUUUAAUCUGAGUGCCAGUUACAUGGGGGUGAAUUCGUCAAGCUGAGCACCAAUGGUGUGUGCAUUUUUAUGUGUGUAUGUUAAACUUCGAUGAAAAGUUUUAAACAAACCUAUUUCUUUUUAAAGAAGUCUUUAAAAGAUCAAUCUGAUGUGCAAGAAAUCUAACCUUGUGUCAAAAUAAACUUCAACCCUCUUUAAAAGAAGGCAACACAAUCCAAUAUUCGAUAACAUAACAUUCACAGUAUCUAACAUCUUAUUUUAAAAGUGCAAGACAUGUUGAGAAUGAGGAAAAUGUCACCCCUAACAAGAGGAAAAUUAGUCAAUAGAAACAGACUCAGAAGUGACAGAUAUGAUAGAACUAGCAGAUAAAGACUUUAAAGUAGAUUUUAUGAAGACUAUAAAUAUGUUCAUGAAUUUAAAGGAAGACCUGAUUAAAUGAAGGGAGAAAUGGAAGAUAUUUAAAAAUGAAAGGGAACAUCUAUAAGCAACAAAUACACCUAGAAUGAAAAAAAAAUCACUUAUGGGAUUAAGAGGAUAUGAGAUACCACUGAAUAAAACAUCAGUGAAUUUGAAGAUAUAGCAAUAAAAACUCCUCAAUAUGAAGCCAAGAAAGAAAAAAGACUGGAAAAAGUUAACAAAACUCAGUGAUCCUAUAGCAUAAUAUCAAGAGGGCUAACAUACUUGCAACUGGAGUCCCAGAAGGUAAGGAAGGUGAGGAAAGACAGAAAAAAUAUUUUAACAGAUUAUAGCUGAUUUUUUUUUCAAUUUUGAUGAAAUUAUACUCAGAGCUCCAAGAAGCUCAAUAAACCUGAAACACAAUGGACCCAAACAAAACCACACAAAGAUACAUUUUGAUUAAUUGCUCAAAACCAAGAAAAGCUUAAAUUAGCCAGAGAGAAAAAGGUAUGAGAAGUAAUUCUAGCAGACUUAUUGCCAGAGACCAUUUAAGGCAGAAGACAAUGGAAUGACAUUUUUAAAGUAAUGAAAGAUAAUUUUUAUCAACCCAGAAUUCUAUAUCCAGUGAAAAUAUCCUUCAAAAAUGAAAGCACUGAGGCAGGUGGAUCACCUGAGGUCAGGAGUUCAAGACCAGCCUGGCCAACAUGGUGAAACCCCGUCUCUACAAAAAUUAGCCAGUCAUGAUGGCGGGUGCCUGUAAUCCCAGCUACUCAGGAGGCUGAGGUGGCAGAAUCGCUUGAACCCAGGAGGCAGAGAUUUCAGUGAGCCGAGGCUGCCCCACUGCACUCCAGCCUGGGAAACAGAGCUAGAAUCCAUCUCAAAAAAAAAGGCAAAACUAGGACUUUUUAAAACAGAUACAAAAUUGGAGAAAUCAUUGUCAGCAGACCUGCACUACAAAAGAAGUUCUUCAGCGGGGAAAAAUGAUAUUAUAGGGAAAUCUGAAUUGUAAGGAAGUGAAGAGAACCACAGAUAGUAAAUAUAUGGAUACAUGUAAGAAAUUUACUUUCUCAUUUGUAAUUUCUAAAAAAGUUAAUUGAGUAUUUCAAGUAAAAAUAAUACCAGUGGAGGUAUUCUGCUGGUAAUAAUACCAGUAGGGGGUGGAGAAUAGAAGUAUUCUGUUUAAAGGUUGUUACGUUACCUGUAUACAAAAACUGGCAUAAUAUUAUUUGAAGGUAGACUGUAUUAAGUUAGAGAUUUAUGUUGUAAACCUUACAAGGGCCACUAAGGGAGGAAAAAAUAAGACAGAGAUAUAUAGCUAAUAAGCCAGUAUUGAAGGUCCAAAACAUUUUGUGGGGAAAGAGUAAACAUGACAACAGAUGGAACAAAUAGAAAAGUUAGCAAGAUGAUAGAUUUAUUCAACUAUGUUGGUUUUUACAUUAAACAUACAUUGUCUAGACACUCCAAUUUACAGAGGUUAUUAUAUAAAAAAGCAAGACCCAAUUGUAUAAUUUCUGUAAGAAUUCUACUUUAAAUAUGAAGAGUCAAAUAGAUGAAAAGUAAAAGGAUAAAAAAGAUAUACCAGCCAAAUGCUGAUCAAAAGAGAGUUGGGGGGCAGAGAAACAAAUCAUCCUUAUACAAGUAUACCAAAUAAUAUUUGUAAAGACUGUCCUGUCCAGAAGGGGCUUAAUCGCCCCUUGCCCCUACUUGGGUGUGGGCUAGAAUGUAUUUAUUCCUAAAAAACUGUGUGUGUAAAGAGAAAAAGAGUAACUUUAGUGGAGAAACUGGCAGACACUACCUUAACCAAACGAUCAAUUUUAACAUCACCAGUGAUGUCAUGUGGAUAUCAUAUAACCACUGAUGUGAUGUAAUGAGGAUAUUUCACUUCUGUGGUAUUCUUUCCAAAAAUCCACUCUAAUCAUGCAGAGACUUCUGAGAAAUUCAAAUUUGGGAACAUUCUGCAACAGGGGUCUCCAACCCCUGGGCUGUGGAUUGGUGCCAGUUCAUGGCCUGUUCGGAACCCAGCCAUACAGUAGGAGGUGAGCAGCGAGUGAGCAUGACCACCUGAGCACUCUACCUCCUGUCAGAUCAGCAGCGGCAUUAGAUUCUCAAAGGACCAUGAACCCUGUUGUGAACUUUGUAUGCAAGGGAUGUAGGUUGUGUGCUCCUUAUGAGAAUCUAAUGCCUGAUGAUCUGAGGUGGAAGAGUUUCAUCCCAAAACCAUCCUCCCUUGCACCUCUCCACCACCCCCAGCAGUCCAUGAAAAGAUUGUCUUCCAUGAAACUGGUCCCUGGUGCCAAAAAGGUCGUGGGACUGCUGUUCUACAAAAUAUCUGACCAGCAUUUCUCACAACUGUCAAGGUCAUAACAAAGGAAAGACAAACUGUUCUAAACCAGAGGAGACUAAGGAGACAUGACAACUAAAUGCAAUGUAGGAUCCUGGAUUGGAUCUUGGGAUAGAAAAAUGGCAUGAAUGGAAAACUGAUGAAAUCACAAUAAAGUCUGGAGUUUAGUUAAUACUAAUGUGCUAUUGUUAGUUUCUUAGUUUUGACAAAUGUGUGGUGGUAAUCUAAGAUAUGCAAGCUUGUCCAACCCACCCCACUUUGUUGUUGUGGCUGUUCUGUUUUGUUUUAGGCUUUUAGCAGCCCAAAGCCAUAGCUUUUAGUUUCUCUCUCUAGUGAUAAGUGGAAAAGAGGGAUGAGGAAGAGGCUUUGCCGGCCCAACCAGAAACAAACUAAGAACCCAUGACUGCAUUCUCUCCCUUUAACACCCCUGUUUAGGGGAAACUGAAACUGGGUAAGGAGAAUAUGGGUCCUCUUUGUACUAUCUUUGUAACUUUUCUGUAAAUCUAAAAAUAUUUCAAAAUGAAAGUUCAUUUUAGAAAAAGAAGGGAGUAUUAUGAAUAACUUUACAAUUUUGACAAAUUAGGUAAAAUGAACAAAUUCCUUGAAUUACAGAAAGUGACUCAAGAAGAAAUAGAAAAAUGGCACUAUUUCUAUUAAAGAAUUUUAAAUCUGUAAAACUUUCCCACAAAGAAAACCCUAGGCCCAGAGAGCCUCCCUGGUGAAUUCUAUCAUAUAUUUAAGAAGAACUAACACAAUCUUAUCACCAACUUUUUCAAAAAACAGAAGUAAAAGGAAGAUGUCUCAUCUUAUUUUAUGAGGUCAGCUUUACCCCAACUUGAAAACCAGAUAAAUAAUUUACAAACAAAAAAAAAAAAAAAAAAGGCAACUACAGACCAAUAUAGAUGCAAAAAUCUUUAACAAUAUAUUAUCAAAUUGAAUCCAGCAAUAUAUAAAAAAGGAUAAUAACCUUUUUUAAAAGAUGUGAAUACAGGUUGGCUAAAUAUUUGAAAAACCAUGUAAUCUAUUAUAUCAGUAAACUGAAAAGGAAAAUAAUAACAAGAUAUAUGAAAAAAAAAAUUUAGGAAAAAUUCGGCAAUAUUCAUGAUAAGAACUCCUAGAAAAUGAAGUAUUCUCACUGUGAUAGAGAGCAUCUAGAAAAGACCUACAGCUCACAUCAUACUUAAUGGUGAAAGACUGAUUUCUUUCCCCCGAGAAUGAAAGAAAGGUAUCUGCUCUUCUUAUUUCUAUUCAACAUUGUACUGGAGGUUCCCACCAGUUCACUAAGACAGGGAAAAGAGGUAAAGCCUUAAUGAUUAGAAAGAAGUGAAAUUCUCUUUAUUCAGACAACUUGAUCGUGUAUAUGGAAAAUUCUAAGGAGUCUCAUAAAUGAAUUUAGUAAGGGUGCAGGAUAAAGUCAGUAUACAAAAAUCAAAUGUAUUUCUAUAUACUAGUAACAAGCAAUUGAAAAUGAGAUUUUUUAAAGUACCAUUUAAAAUAGCAUACAAAACACAAAAUACUUAGGAAUAAAUUUAAGAAAAUAUGUUGAAAAUUUGUAUCCUGAAAGCUAUGAAACAUUUCUGAAAAAAAAUUUAAAAGACCUAAAUAAAUGGAGAGCUAUUCCAUGUUUUGGAUUGGAAGACUCAAUAUUUUUUUACUCAAUAUUUUUAAGAUGUUAAUUUUCCCUAAAUUGAUCUAUAGAUUCAAUAUAAUCCCAACCCAAAUUCCAGAUGGCUUUCUUUUUGGUAAACUUCACAAGCUGAUUCUAAAAUGUAUAUGAAUAUGCAAAAGAUCUAGAAUAGCCAAAACAAUGUUGAAAGAGAAGAACAAAGUUGUAGGACUUAUAUUACCUGUUUGCAAGACUCACUAUAAAGUUACAGUAAUCAAGACAGUGUAGAAACACAUAUAAAUCAAUAGAACAAAAUUAAGAGUCCAGAAUUAGACCUACACAUAAGUGGUCAAUUGAUUUUUCAACAAAUAUGCCAAAGUAAUUCAAAAGGGAAAGAAGAGGGAUCUUUUAUUCCAACAAACGUGCUGGAACAACUGGAUAUCUAUAUGGAAAAAAAAGAAGCCUUGACUUUUACCUCAUGCAAAUAUUAGCUCAAAAUAGACUAUAGACCUAAAAAUAGAAGCAAAAACAAUCAAAUGACUAGAAAAAAAAUAUGAGAGGGAAUCCUCAUGAAUUGGGGGUAGGCAAAAAUUUCUUAGGACAUAAAAAGCACACAUCAUAAAUAAAAAAGUGAUAAAUUGGAUGUCAUGAAAGGUAAAAACUUAUGCUCCCCAAAAGCAUCAUUUAAAAAAUGAAGAGGCAAGCCACAGACAAAAUGAGAUAAAAUAUUCUUAACACUUAUACCUAAAAAAGGACUUUUAUCCAAAAUAUAUUUAAAAAUUCCAAAACUCAAUAGCAAGAAGAUAGCUCAAUUAAAAUGGGUAAAAUAUUUGAAGAAACACAUCACAACAUGCACAUGAAAAGAUACUCCGCAUCGUUAGUCAUGAGGGUACAAAUUAAUGUCACAACAAGGUUCUACUGCAUACCCACUGGUACGGCUAAAAUAAAAAGGCUGAAUUUCUUAUAGAUGUAUAUUUUAAACAUAUGUUUACUGUAUGACCAGGCGAUCCCACACCUAGGUAUUUGCCCAAGAAAAGGAAAACGUAUGUAUGUGUAUGUUUUUAGCAACCCAAACCAGAAACAAUACAGACGUCCCCCAACUGGUUAAUAUAAAAACAAUCAGUGGUAUACCCAUAAAAUAGAAGGCUACUCCACAAUCAAGAAGAAGAAACUAACUACUGAUCUAUUCCACAAAAUGGAUGAAUCUCAAAUACAUUAGAAGUGACAGAAUCCAUUUAUUUUGUAUUCUGGAACAGGCAAAACUAUAAAGCUAGAAACAGCUGAGUGGUUGCCAGGACUAAAAGUGGAACAAGGGAAAUUUGGGGGAUGAUGGACCGUCUGUAUCUUGAUUGUGGUGAUAGAUAUAUGACUGCAUGUAUCUUUCAAAAUUCUUAGAACUAUUCACUAAAGAUGGUGAAUCUUAAGGUAUGUAAAUCAUACCUCAAUAAACCUGACUUUAAAAUUAUUUAAACACUGGCAACACCAAGUAUUGUCAAAGAUGUGGAAGCAUUUAUGUGGAGCUUUCAUCACGGCUGAUGGGAGUACAAUACGGUACAACCACUUUGGAAAACAGUUUGUCAAUAUCUCAUGAAGUUAAACUUACGCCUACCAUACAACCCAACAAUCCCACACCUGGCUAUUCACCCAAGAGAAAUGAAACUAUAUCCAAACAGGCUUGUACAUGAAUGUUUAUGGCAGCUGUAUUCAUAGAGAACAAUAACUGAAAGUAACCGAAAUGUCUAUCAAAUGGUAGAUGGAUAAAUAAACAAUGUAUUAUAUCCCUUAUGUUUAUGUAUUUACUCAGUAUUCUGUAGUAACAAACGUUUGAUACACCAAGCAACAUGAAUGAAUCUUAAUUCACACUGAGCAAAAGAAACCAGACACACAGCACUGUAGGAUUUCAUGUAUGUAAAAAUAGAAGAGAGAAAGCUAGUCUAUAGUGGCUGAAAGCAGAUCAGUGGUUGCCUUGGGCUGGGAUGGAGGAGGCAGGGCCUGACUGCCAAGGGGCACCAACCAACCUUCUGUGGUGAAGGAACUGUUCUGUUUCUUGAUUGUGGAGGUGGUUACACACGUGUAGACAUUGGUCAAAACUCACUGGACUGUGCUUUUUAAGUGUAUGCAUUCUAUUAUAUAUCAGUUAUGACUUAGUUAAUUUUUAAAAGUAGCAGCCUUGGAAAUUAAUUUUAAAGGUGGAGUUCCAAUAUUAAGUAGCUUUCAGAACAACUCUGCUGAUUUUUAGAUGAUUUAUGUACAUGAGCAAAGGGUUACUUUGGAGGCAGGAUGGCUCGGCUUUGUGCUAGAUGCCUAGACAAUUUAGUCUCAAAUGUAUAAUCUUGUCUGAGUUAGCUUUGUUUUACCCUAAAAAAAAAAAUGAGGUUGGCAAGGUUAAUGCCUUAUACCUUGCUAUGUUCCAUGAAAGUUGCCAAAGUAGUGUUUUCACUGACAAUAUUGCAUUGUUCCCUAGCUAUGGAUUUUGGAGGAAAAAUAUGGCAAGAAUACUCCUUCUUUUAGAUCUAAAGGCGUGUUUACAGACUUCAUGUUUAUCUCAAGCCCUGGCCUUCUCCACGCCAUAUUUCUUUAAAGGCCCAGAACCCUCAGACUCUCGAGAUAUUCUACAGGGCUUGUAGGAACUGGUGUGUGAUCUUUCCCUGUGAGUCAACAAUGCAUUUGAUUCCAGAAGCGAGGGACUAGGCCUUUUUAUGGACUUGAUACUUCUACCCUGUUAAUGCAUUUUUGUUAGUAUUUUCUGAUAGAGUGUUUAUUCAUUCAGCAGGCAUUUCCUGAGCACCUACUAUGUGCUAGGCUUUAUAUUGGGUAUAAUGAGUAUGGAGGUGAUUAAGACAUAACCUUUAUUCUCAGUGAGGUCCCAGGCUGGUUAGUAGAAAAGCUAAUGCAGGCUGGACUGCCAGUCUUGCCCCCACUUCUCCAGUCCCCAUCCAUCCUCCAGGCUAUAAACAAAGGUGUAUUACAGAGCAUGGAGACCACUCCCCAACUGAAAACCUUUAGUGGUGCCUCAUUUUUCUCUUGGUGAAAUUCAGGCUCCAUAAUAUGGGCCUUUGUAAUCCACUUUCUGCCCAUCUCUCCUACCUCAUCUCUUGCCAUUGCUCUUCUACCCAUUUAUACUUUUUACUGACAGCUUUGCUUCCAUACACAGGAGACUCUGGAUGUUUCUAGUUCAGAGUCUUCCAGAUGGGCAGAUCUAUAGCCACUUCAGGAAGAGAGCAUCGUGAUCCAGUGAGCCUUGCCCUAAGCGUGUGUGUAUGAUUUGUCAACGAUCGAGGAUUUUAUGGGAGUUUAUGGGACUUCAUUAAAGAUGCUGGAGCAGGAGCACUGUGGGACAUCAGAAGAGACCUCAGCAAUAAACCACAAUUCCAAGCUUUGGAAUGCAGUAAAUGUUUAAGAGACUUCCUUCCUUUCAUUACUGAAUUUUACUUUACUUUCAUACCAGUAAAGAGUUGUGUUUUAUUGGUUGAAAUUUCUUGAUUCUGUUUUUCCCAGGUCUGUUUAAAAGCUACAUUUUAUCUUUGAGGAUGUUUGGCUCGUGGUGGAGGAAGUGCUGCCAGCGAAUUCAAUUAACUGGCAGAGCUCACAGAUAUUGUACACGGAUUUCUUUUUUUCUUCUUUUUCACAACUGCUACAUAAACACAGCUGGGUUUAAUAUUUGUCGUAACAAAGAUUUAACUUGAAUCAUUUUACCCCGGGUAAUUAAUGCUUGGAAUCUUGGCUACUUUUUCGUUCGUUUGUAAUCCUCUGCAUUUCUUUACUCUAGCUAUCUAGAUAAUGAAGUGUGCUCCUCUAGGUCUUUGCCCUGCCUUAAAACUGCUUAAUAUUUGGCCGUUCCCACUAGAGAGCAGAUGCUUUUCUUUGCAAGAAUUGAAUUUCUGUCAGCUCUUUUAUGCAUCAUGUGUUUGGAACUGUAAGUGGAUCAAGUUGUUCAUCACAGCGGGGACACUGUGAAACACAUCUAUUAUACACACUUCCCACCCCCCUUCCUGUUUUGUUUUUUUUUCCUCCCCUGAGGAGGUGGAGAUGCCCGGAUCCCCUUGGGAGAUAUCUCGCUCUGUGUGGAUGUAUCCAUGUGAUCCACCAUGAAUCCGGCCUGGCCACAUCCCUAAGCAGGGAAAUCUGUAUCCAUUCAGCCCAGGAUUGUGGCUGAGACAAACCCCACUUUUAUCUUUGUAAACACCAAGCUCUUCAUUAACUCCCAAAUACACACCAAGUUUGGGUCACUAAGUAAAUCCACUAGGCUCAGCAUAAUGAGUGACAUUUCAGUAAUUGAUGCCCUAGAAUAUGUUCAUUGUGAACCCAUGAUUCUUUUCGAUGCUAAAAUAAAGGCUUGGGUAGUUUUGGCUUUGGAGUUGAGCUAGCGCAGAAGAAUAGUCACCAUCGAUUAGGCCCCUACAGUGUGCCAGGCACUGUGCUAGGGGAUUUGAAAAUCUUGACAUUUAAUCUACAUAAGAAUCCUGCAAAAAAAAGAAGGGGAGGGUACUUUAUCCCCUUUUUAUAGAUGAAGAAAAGGGGCCAAGUAACUUGCCUAGAGGCAUCCAGAUAAUUGCCAGGAGGAGAGCCAGAAUUUGAACUCAGGUCGGGCUGAGCCCAGAGUAAAUCCAUGUACUGUAAAGUGUGGUCCCCUCAUGCCUAGAGGUCACUAGAAUAUAUUCAUCCAUUGAUCAAUCAAGACAUUGAUUUAUUAUGCAUGUUUAUGACAUGCUGCCAUUGCUCCAUCUGAGUUGUCUCAUUCCAUGUCAGGUCUGAAGUUUGGUUGGCAUUUGUGAACACCUUUGUACUCAUCUAAAUCUGAACUCCUGGUGGUGACUGGAAUAGUUUUAGUUUUGCUUUUCUCUCAAAGCUCAGUGCAAAUACAACCCAAGUGCCCCAAGCAACCUACUGUUUUCUUAGAGUUUUGUGAAUUUCAAUUUCUAGCUGUGAACUGAUGGUUAAAAUUUCUACACCUCUAUGGUUUAGUUUGUUAACACGGCUUUAGGGAAGCAGGCAUCUUGGUGGCAUUCCUGCUGUGAUAUGCUCAUCUUUUGGGCCUCAGAUAGUGGCUCUGAGGGCAGAAGUGCAUUUUGGUUCAUUUUUAAUAUAUGUCAUUCAAUUUGCCAGAGUCAUUGUGAGACAUUCACAUGUCUGACUGAGAUACUGCUGAUCUGUAGAAUUAAUUAUAGUUAAAUGGAAAGGUGGCUUUUGCUCAUGAAGAAAGUCGUUAGUCUCUUGAUAAACAUUUUUAAUUAUGAUUAACUUUAGUCUUCCUCCAAAUACUUUCCAUUAGAAAAGGCAUUAAUGUUCUGGUUCAUUAGAAAUAGAGCAAUCCUUUUAUUUUUGGUUUGCAGUCCAUUUUGUUCUUGAAAGAUAUUGGUCCACUUUUUUAAAAAAAAAUUGGUGGAUGUUGUGUUGUAAAAAACAUAUAAGUUUCCUUUUGCAAGUGCAUAUCAGUUUUUUCAAAGGUAACUUACACUUUAAUUUUGUGUGUUGUGUUUGCAAGAGAAUGCUUCUUGGUUUAUUCAUGUUGACAACUGAAAAGCCUUAGACCUAAUUAAAAGAAUUUCCAUGA